rnacentral:rRNA from 1 species
UACGUAGGGACCAAGCGUUGUUCGGAUUUACUGGGCGUAAAGGGCGCGUAGGCGGCGCGGUAAGUCACUUGUGAAAUCUCUGAGCUUAACUCAGAACGGCCAAGUGAUACUGUCGUGCUAGAGUGCGGAAGGGGCUACUGGAAUUCUCGGUGUAGCGGUGAAAUGCGUAGAUAUCGAGAGGAACACCUGCGGCGAAGGCGGGUAGCUGGGCCGACACUGACGCUGAUGCGCGAAAGCCAGGGGAGCGAACGGG